rnacentral:tRNA from 2 species
AAGGCUUUAGCUUAAUUAAAGCACCUGAUUUGCAUUUAGGAGAUACAGGUUAAAGUCCUGUUAGCCUUA